rnacentral:rRNA from 1 species
UCGAACGAAGCACUUUAUUUGAUUUCCUUCGGGACUGAUUAUUUUGUGACUGAGUGGCGGACGGGUGAGUAACGCGUGGGUAACCUGCCUUGUACAGGGGGAUAACAGUUGGAAACGGCUGCUAAUACCGCAUAAGCGCACAGCAUCGCAUGAUGCAGUGUGAAAAAUUCCGGUGGUAUAAGAUGGACCCGCGUUGGAUUAGCUAGUUGGUGAGGUAACGGCCCACCAAGGCGACGAUCCAUAGCCGACCUGAGAGGGUGACCGGCCACAUUGGGACUGAGACACGGCCCAAACUCCUACGGGAGGCAGCAGUGGGGAAUAUUGCACAAUGGGCGAAAGCCUGAUGCAGCGACGCCGCGUGAGCGAAGAAGUAUUUCGGUAUGUAAAGCUCUAUCAGCAGGGAAGAUAAUGACGGUACCUGACUAAGAAGCACCGGCUAAAUACGUGCCAGCAGCCGCGGUAAUACGUAUGGUGCAAGCGUUAUCCGGAUUUACUGGGUGUAAAGGGAGCGCAGGCGGUGCGGCAAGUCUGAUGUGAAAGCCCGGGGCUCAACCCCGGUACUGCAUUGGAAACUGUCGUACUAGAGUGUCGGAGGGGUAAGCGGAAUUCCUAGUGUAGCGGUGAAAUGCGUAGAUAUUAGGAGGAACACCAGUGGCGAAGG